rnacentral:tRNA from 1 species
GGGGAUAUAGCUCAGUUGGUAGAGUGCUUGCCUAGAAUGCACAAGGCCUUGGGUUCAAUCCCCAGCAUCACAA